CCUCCAAGGCCCUCACAAAUGCAUUAUAACUGAAAAUAUAAACAUAACCAAAAAAAGACAGCAUACAACCAGCCCCGAGGACUCAGGCGCUGAGUUUCGCAUUUGAGAGGUUACCACAAAGGACAUCAAUUGGCAGAGCUAGACUCAAGCUACGGAAACUAAUAAGUCUGGCCUCAUGACUCAGCUUGCAACAAAAUAAAAUAGAUAUGACCAAAUGACAUUCUGAGUUAUAAGCCGGGCGUCAGGAAUUUUUCCCAUAAAAAUCCCCGGUUCGCAACUUAGAAAAGCCCAGGUGCCUCCUCUUUCCCUUCACCUCCUCAUCUCAAAUUAAAAAAGGCAAGAAAAUCCUGAACCACGGUUAGCUUGUUGAGUGAGAGUUUACCCAACCCAUAUAUACACCGAUGGGAGGGCAGGGGAAACAAAUAUAGAUAACUGAAGUAGAAAGGAAUUUACAUACCGAGCACGUCACCUGCAUAUAAAAAAAGCUUGCCCUCGGCCAACGCAGCAUUUCCAACAGCGUAUUCCUUCCUUCGACUUGGCCGUCUCCAAGUGGUAAAAGAGGAAAAAGCAAAUCAAUGCAACCCAGCAGCCGAUGUGCUACUGACACUGCCCCUUCCAGGGCUAUUUUAGUAGCGUAUUGUAGAAACCUCAGGCAACACAGCAGGAGAAAGCAAUGUUCCUCUUCUUCUUCUUCUUUUUCUAAAGAAAGGUUCAUCUUUCUUUAGUUAGAAAGAUAUAUACCAAAAGCUAGAGGGCAUCAAACAUGGUUCUUGUGAGUGUACC
rnacentral:lncRNA from 1 species